GAUGAACGCUGGCGGCGUGCUUAACACGUGCAAGUCGAACGAUGAAGCCUAGCUUGCUGGGUGGAUUAGUGGCGAACGGGUGAGUAACACGUGAGUAACCUGCCCUUAACUCUGGGAUAAGCCUGGGAAACUGGGUCUAAUACCGGAUAGGAGCGCCUACCGCAUGGUGGGUGUUGGAAAGAUUUAUCGGUUUUGGAUGGACUCGCGGCCUAUCAGCUUGUUGGUGAGGUAAUGGCUCACCAAGGCGACGACGGGUAGCCGGCCUGAGAGGGUGACCGGCCACACUGGGACUGAGACACGGCCCAGACUCCUACGGGAGGCAGCAGUGGGGAAUAUUGCACAAUGGGCGCAAGCCUGAUGCAGCGACGCCGCGUGAGGGAUGACGGCCUUCGGGUUGUAAACCUCUUUCAGUAGGGAAGAAGCGAAAGUGACGGUACCUGCAGAAGAAGCACCGGCUAACUACGUG
rnacentral:rRNA from 1 species